GUGGGGAAUAUUGGACAAUGGGCGAAAGCCUGAUCCAGCCAUGCCGCGUGUGUGAAGAAGGUCUUCGGAUUGUAAAGCACUUUAAGUUGGGAGGAAGGGUAGUAACCUAAUACGUUGCUACUUUGACGUUACCGACAGAAUAAGCACCGGCUAACUUCGUGCCAGCAGCCGCGGUAAUACGAAGGGUGCAAGCGUUAAUCGGAAUUACUGGGCGUAAAGCGCGCGUAGGUGGUUCAGUAAGUUGGAAGUGAAAUCCCCGGGCUCAACCUGGGAACUGCUUUCAAAAAUGAUGAGAUAGAGUAAGGUAGAGGGUGGUGGAAUUUCCUGUGUAGCGGUGAAAUGCGUAGAUAUAGGAAGGAACACCAGUGGCGAAGGCGACCACCUGGACUGAUACUGACACUGAGGUGCGAAAGCGUGGGGAGCAAACAGGAUUAGAAACCCUGGUAGUCC
rnacentral:rRNA from 1 species